rnacentral:rRNA from 1 species
ACGGAAGGUGCGAGCGUUAAUCGGAAUUACUGGGCGUAAAGCGCGCGUAGGCGGCUUGGUCAGUCGGGUGUGAAAGCCCCGGGCUCAACCUGGGAAUUGCAUCCGAUACUGCGAGGCUUGAGUACGAGAGAGGAGAGUGGAAUUCCCGGUGUAGCGGUGAAAUGCGUAGAGAUCGGGAGGAACAUCAGUGGCGAAGGCGGCUCUCUGGCUCGAUACUGACGCUGAGGUGCGAAAGCGUGGGGAGCAAACAGG